UCCCUACGGGGGGCAGCAGUGGGGAAUAUUGGACAAUGGGCGAAAGCCUGAUCCAGCAAUGCCGCGUGAGUGAUGAAGGCCCUAGGGUUGUAAAGCUCUUUUACCCGGGAUGAUAAUGACAAUACCGGGAGAAUAAGCUCCGGCUAACUCCGUGCCAGCAGCCGCGGUAAUACGGAGGGAGCUAGCGUUGUUCGGAAUUACUGGGCGUAAAGCGCACGUAGGCGGCUUUGUAAGUUAGGGGUGAAAGCCCGGAGAUCAACACCGGAAUUGCCUUUAAGAGUGCAUCGCUUGAAUCAAGGAGAGGUGAGUGGAAUUCCGAGUGUAGAGGUGAAAUUCGUAGAUAUUCGGAAGAACACCAGUGGCGAAGGCGGCUCACUGGACUGGUAUUGACGCUGAGGUGCGAAAGCGUGGGGAGCAAACAGGAUUAGAUACCCAUGUAGUC
rnacentral:rRNA from 1 species